AAAAACAAUUAAAGGAUUUAGGUUCCAUUUAAAUAUUACAACAUACACUAUCCUGUCUUCCCACUCAGAUUGAGCUAUGAAACCAUGACAAGUGCAUGGAGCAGCUAUUUGAGCACCAGGAAAGGAAAUGGUAUGCAGCGGUUUGGGAUGGCCCCAGCAGAUGAAAUACAACAGAGUCAGAGUGAGACUCCUGGAUUUCCUCAGUGUCCCCUGACUGGGACUCCAGACAGCCUGAAACUUGAAGGGACACAAGCCUGAAAAUUAAAAGAACUCCAGAAAGCCCUCUUGUUCAGGAUUGAAGAUAGGAAAAUAAACUUAUUUGGUCAAAGUGAAGGCUCAGUCCCCUGCACAAGCAGGUGGUCCAUGCUUCUGUUCUCAUUUCUCUUGCAGCAGUGCCUCUCCCUGGGUUCACACUGAUGUCCUAUGGAUGGAGAUGAUAAUUCCUGCAGCAGGUCACUCCUCAGCCCCUGUUACCUGAAGGGGCACUGUUCAAUCACAAUAUGGUGUGAGCCUCAUGGAUAUCCCAAGGUCUAGUCGCCACGUUAGACAUACAAAGAGAAGAAGGUGAUCCUGGUCAUCUGUCCUGGGGCCACUGACACUGAGGGUGACUGUGUCAGUUCACAAGAGAUGACAGAGCCUGCAAGGAAAGAAAAAGGGAGAGAAAAAAGUUGAAACUGAGCGGCUCAACCCAAGGAUAUCUUGCCACUUGCCGGGACUGGAGUGAUAACACACACCUUGGACAGGUGCAGGUUCCACCCCAGGGCACAGCCCCUGAGUGAUAGAGGUCAAUGAAAUUCCUUAUUUGCCAAGUGCACACAGAGUGUUGGAAGAUCCAUGAGAUGCUGGGAGUUUCUGCCUUGGCUGUGAGCUCCUAGGUAGGUCAUAGCUGCUGUGCCUCAGUAUCUCCAGGAUGCUGUCAGGACCAGGGACAGAUGGGGAGGCGAAGGAAAUGUUUGCUCCGUAAGAGAAGGAGAGGGGGCUGCAAACUCCAAGACCCCCAGAAGUGAAUGUUUAUUACAAAUAAGAUGUCUUCAGUUGCUGGGGAAAAUGUGUUAAUGAAUAAGAACUUAAGUCAACUAAAGGUUAAUGAGCAACUAUUUUGUGACUCACAAAGAAAUCAAGAGCUGUGAUUUGGCAGCUUCCCCAGGAGAGAGUCGGGAAAGACCAGGGACAGUGGAUGUGGAGGAGCAGCCAGGAAGGGAGAAGCCACUAUGUCUGCAGGACAGGGACUCCCAGAUCAAAGGAAAGUACGGAGGACACCUGUGACCUCAGGGAGGACACUGUACAUGAGGGGGACACUGUUUUAGCACAACUGGGUGUGGAGGAGGGGGCGUUGUGAGAAGUCAAGUGCCUGGAUCUGUGUCAGAGAGAGUCAGCAUGCAAAAGAGCUGAAGAUAAAAUGUGAUUCCAGAAUGUUUACAUCAGUGUCAAGGACACAAGGACAAUCUUCUAGGAAAAUAAAGACCCUUUCCCUCCA